rnacentral:rRNA from 1 species
GACGGGGGCCCGCACAAGCGGUGGAGUAUGUGGUUUAAUUCGAUGCAACGCGAAGAACCUUACCUGGUCUUGACAUCCCGGAGACCCUUAGGAAACUAGGGGUGCUUCCAUCUGGAAGAAUCUGGAGACAGGUGCUGCAUGGCUGUCGUCAGCUCGUGUCGUGAGAUGUUGGGUUAAGUCCCGCAACGAGCGCAACCCUUGCCUUUAGUUGCCAGCAGUUCGGCUGGGCACUCUAAAGGGACUGCCGGUGUUAAACCGGAGGAAGGUGGGGAUGACGUCAAGUCCUCAUGGCCUUUAUGACCAGGGCUACACACGUACUACAAUGGCCGAUACAAAGGGCAGCGACACUGCGAGGUGAAGCCAAUCCCGUAAAAUCGGUCUCAGUCCGGAUUGGAGUCUGCAACUCGACUUCAUGAAGUCGGAAUCGCUAGUAAUCGCGGAUCAGAACGCCGCGGUGAAUACGUUCUCGGGGUUU